UUAAGUUCAGCGGGUAUUCCUACCUGAUCCGAGGUCAACCUUGUGGAAGUGAAAAGGGAGACCGGGCCUGAAAGGUCCUUGAAACUCGACGCGUGCUCCUGAAAAGCUCGUUGCACCGAGGGUCCCACGGACGCCGUCACUGUCUUUGAGGCCAGCUGGUUACGAAGAACCAGCGCGGCCCAACACCAAACCCGAGGUUU
rnacentral:misc_RNA from 1 species